rnacentral:rRNA from 1 species
GACGAACGCUGGCGGCGUGCUUAACACAUGCAAGUCGAACGGAAAGGCCCUGCUUUUGUGGGGUGCUCGAGUGGCGAACGGGUGAGUACACGUGAGUAACCUGCCCUUGACUUUGGGGUAACUUCAGGAAACUGGGGCUAAUACCGGAUAGGAGCUCCUGCUGCAUGGUGGGGGUUGGAAAGGUUCGGCGGUUGGGGAUGGACUCGCGGCUUAUCAGCUUGUUGGUGGGGUAGUGGCUUACCAAGGCUUUGACGGGUAGCCGGCCUGAGAGGGUGACCGGCCACAUUGGGACUGAGAUACGGCCCAGACUCCUACGGGAGGCAGCAGUGGGGAAUAUUGCACAAUGGGCGGAAGCCUGAUGCAGCAACGCCGCGUGCGGGAUGACGGCCUUCGGGUUGUAAACCGCUUUCGCCUGUGACGAAGCGUGAGUGACGGUAAUGGGUAAAGAAGCACCGGCUAACUACGUG